CCCCUCUCCAGGUCGCACCUGGAGAGUUUCCAGGACUCUACCAGUCUCGACUACAAGAGGGAGAGUCAAGUAGAGGCCUACUUAUUCCAUUCCUAGCUUGGCCAGUGGCUAGCGAGUAGAAGGCCAUCGGCUACAAGU